GGUUCAGGAUGAACGCUAGCUACAGGCUUAACACAUGCAAGUCGAGGGGCAGCAUUGGAGUAGCAAUACUCAGAUGGCGACCGGCGCACGGGUGAGUAACACGUAUCCAACCUGCCGCUUACUCGGGGAUAGCCUUUCGAAAGAAAGAUUAAUACCCGAUGGUAUAAAGAGUUCGCAUGUUCUCUUUAUUAAAGAAUUUCGGUAAGCGAUGGGGAUGCGUUCCAUUAGAUAGUUGGCGGGGUAACGGCCCACCAAGUCUACGAUGGAUAGGGGUUCUGAGAGGAAGGUCCCCCACAUUGGAACUGAGACACGGUCCAAACUCCUACGGGAGGCAGCAGUGAGGAAUAUUGGUCAAUGGACGAGAGUCUGAACCAGCCAAAAGUAGCGUGAAGGAUGACUGCCCUAUGGGUUGUAAACUUCUUUUAUAAGGGAAUAAAGUGAGGGACGUGUCCCUUUUUGUAUGUACCUUAUGAAUAAGGAUCGGCUAACUCCGUGCCAGCCGCCGC
rnacentral:rRNA from 1 species